UUCUGUUGAAGGUGGGGAGGUAGUUUUUUUUUUUUUAAUUUUCUUUUUAGGGUCUGUGCAGAGGAGAAAGACUAUGGCUGGUGGUUACUAGCUAUUUCCUGUUCUCGAUCUUAACAUUGGUCUGUUUAUUCUGUUCUCAGGCACCUUCUGUCCAUCGCUCUGUCAAGGGAAAGUGCUUUGAAUCAGUGGAUUUAUAAUAUUUUUGACGUCUAAUAAUGGAUGGAAAAAAAUGGAUGUUGGCAUCAUUUCUACCACAGCAACAAGAGCAAAGAUGGACUCCAGAAAGUCAAAACAUCAAGGAAUAUUUGCCAUUUCUUUAGGAAUCUCAUGAUUUUCCCUUUUUGGAACUUCUGUCAACAUGCUUCUGGAUGGUUCUUCUGCUACAUGUUGUGUCGGCUGGGGUUCCUCAGAUUCAGGGGUACAUGUACAGGUUUGUUACAAGAGUCUAUUGUGUGAUGCUGAAGUUUGGAGUACAAUUGAACCCAUCACCCAGCUAGUGAGCAUGAUAUUGAAUAGAGUCACGGAGAAGAGGAGACAGCAUGUGCAAGGGAAUGAAGAAAAGGACCAAGACUAUUUUCAAAUCACCCAUGGCACUACUAGAAAAGUAUUUCAGCAAAAAGACUGGCUGAUUUUAUGAUUCCUGUGUCCACCACACCCCUCUAAUUUUUACAUAGGUACCCCACAUCUCUCCAGAUUUCAGGAAGACUAUUAUUCUUUGACUUUAGCUUUCUGAUGGGUUCACAAAAAGCUGUUAGUGUGCUGUUGGUCCAGCUUUUUUCUUGUUGCAAAUAUGAGAGCUACAGUUCUGAGAUAAAACCACAGGAAACUGAGGCACAAAGAAUUUGAGUGACUUGCCCAAGGUCAUACAACUAACAAAUGUUGGAACUGAGACUCCAGUACAGGAAAUCUGAUUCUAUAGUCUGUCUUUAUUAUAUAAAUAAAGUGAGACUAUCACUUUUUCACAUGUUAAAAGGAAUCCAGUUGAACAAAGAAAGAACAUGCUGUAAGAAAUAGUUCAAUAGCAGAAGAUCCUUUAAUAGUAUGUGAAAGGAGAAAUAUUCUCAUAUUGAUGAAAAGAAGAAAAGAAUAGGAAACCUGUGAGGAUUUUAGAGCACCCUGACCAUCUGACCCAGGCAGACACUUCUAAGAGCUGCAUGGAACUGUAUCUAAGGUUGACAGGAAUAAAACUGUCCAUCUUAUCUUACUUUUCUUGUACGUACCCUUGGACUCCUCUCUAUUAUUCACUGGCAACUCCAGUUCUUGAACUCUAAAAAUUCCACCAAUGCUAUUUGAGCAUUGAGAAAAGAUACUUUUCAUUUUAAGUUACAUCUUCCCACUGUUUGUAGAUGUUAUGUGUAUUCCAUUGCUAAGGAAUCAUUCUCUUUGCCUGAGGAAAAAGACAGUUUAAAAAUAACUUGUGUUGUGAUUAGAAAAGUCUUUGUAUACAGAUACCUGAAAGAGAGAGAAUGCACGGGCACUUGUAUAACACAUGAUGGGUGAUAGUUUUCAACUGUGCUUGGGGGGAAACAUUUUGUUUUGUAUAGAAAUAAAGUGUAGACAAGAAAAAAAGGGAUAUGUUAAUGUGAGGCAUAUUGGAAUGUAUUUAAGUAUAUCUGUUGUUAACAAACUGGAUAAAUCCACUAAAUAGAUAAUAUAUAAAAUUUACAGGUUGCAGGUGGCCAUAGGUCCUCUUUUUUACCUGUUAGUGAUGGUGGUAGAGGGGAAGGCAGGCAUAGGGGAGUAAGGGAAAUAGUAUUUCCACCGGGAGAAUUUUGAACCUGAAAUGUAAGAAAAAUUGUAUUUUCUAUUGAUACCAGUUAUGCUUCAUACAGAUAUUGAGUAAUUUUCAAGUUAUUGGUUGUAAGGCCCUACUAUAGUGUUGACUCUAUACCCUUUACCAUAUGCCCAGUAAGGGGUGCAUUUGGACAUCUUAAUGUGAGUCCAAGAAUUCCAGGGAAUUCAGGAUAUUUUGCAGCAUCAUUCUUUAUUUCAAAGUCUAGUCUAGACUUUUAAAUAUUUGAAUAUAUUGGACUGUAAACAAAACAACAUCUUGUUGAAAAGAACAACCGUCUCCAUGCAACCUGAAUGGAUGGAAGCAGUAUUAUCUUUAGUCCAAAUCUGAAACAAAAUCUGCUUCACUAAACUUUCUUGCAGACAAGCAGACUGCUUUGUUUGAAAAUGUGAGAUUGGAAAAUCUGGCUGGAAGUUUUACCUUAAAAUUUUUUCUUCCUAUGGGGAGGGCAUGGGCUCUCUGGUGACUCUUUGUUCUGGCAGCAGGAGGAAGGACAUGGCGCUGGUGUCCCGGCUGGAGGAGCCAAGGGUUACCCGGUACCUUUUAUUUUCACAUUAAAACACUAUAGAGGAAAGGAUCUGGCUCUCCACCUUUUAAUAUUGCUCAGUCAUUUCUUUUUACUUUUUGCUUCAGUGAGCACAGUAUGUGGUUUGCUAGGGAAGCUAUUAAAAAGAAAACCCUUCAGUUUUAUGGAUUUUGGCAAAAUCUAUAGUCAAUGCAUGUUUUUUAAUUCCUUCACAACUACUCUAAUUCUCUAAACCUUGGUGAGGGCAUGCUCAAAAAUUGGCUCAUAAUUUGUAAUUUAACAAGUGACAGAAUGUUUUGACAUUAGCAAAUGAAGGGAAAUGUUUUAUAUAACAAACCAUGAUCAUGGCUUUCCAGUUUGGUCAUUUGUACUGAGCAGAUUGUCACAAUCAAAGCCCGGGCCAUUAGAAGCCUAGGCCAGUUUUGUUGAAAGUUUCUGGGUAACUAAGAUCAUUCAGGCUUGGCCUUGGAGUAUAUUUAGAUUAAAGUGGUUAUCCCCUCUUUGUGUUCAGAAUGCCCACCCCUCUCCCAUCUUUCUUUUUGCUCUAACUUAUAAACUUGUUUGCAUGUGUAUUUAUAAUUUGUAGUCUAUAUUCACCUCUGGGUUUUAACUUCCUGCAUUUCAUUUCUUAAGAAUCCUUCUCAGCAUUUCACCAUCUCCUAAGUGUUAGUGAGUAAAGGAUAGCAAGAAACUUGACAGAGAAGGUGCUAGUGGGUCAGGGAAAAGUCCAGUGUAGAGGCUAUAGUCUUAUGGGAUGGUAGAGGCCAUACUUCUGGUGACUGUAUUCAUCAUCCACUUGGAUUCUCUCUCGCACAAAGUCUGAUUUAGGGUAGAUAGUGUCAUCUUUUAGUUGGCUUAGAAAAGCUUGACCCCAAAUGUACUCUGAGAAGUCCUUAAAAAGAAAUGUAUAAUAAUCCAGUAAUUCUCUAGAUAGGAAACUUAAAAUUCUGUAGGAAGUAUGUGUAACAUACAGAAAUAAGUGAAGUGGAUGACAAUGAAACUAACAUUGCUUUUUAAAUCACUGUAUGUGCAUAAAAUACACAUGCAUAAAUAAGGCCCACUGGCUGGCUGAGUAUGACUCAUGUUUUAUACUCAUUUUGUUUUCUUGAAAUAAGAAAGCUUAACUGGGUAAUAAAGCUCCCUCUCUUCUGGUCCCUGAGAAACCAACCUCCCAGCUGCAGGUCCCAUUUUUAGCUUGGACAAAUCUCAUCUUAUUUAACCAAUCUUUCCAUAAGUGGCUGAGUUGAGGAAGUUAUUACUUUCUGUGGUCUAAAUUGCCUAACAGAAAGUCGUUUUACCUAAAUCCUAGGACCCCUGUGGGAAAAUCCCAAUUGGUUACUGUGCUUGUAAACUAAAUAUAGUUUAGUUUUGUCUGUCUCCUCCUUAUAAGCAGAACUAGUUUUAAGAUCUUCACUCACAUCACCUUAAACUUGAAAAUUUCCUGUUUGUUAUUGCGAGAAAAGCAACUCAAUUCUCCUAUUUCUUUUUUUUAUUUAUUUUUUAUUAUACUUUAAGUUCUAGGGUACAUGUGGAUAAC